rnacentral:lncRNA from 1 species
ACAAAAAGGAAAAAAAAAAUAUAAGUAGAAGCUUAGUCAGCUCGGUCCACCUCGGGCUCGACCUUGGGGAGGACCUCCACCCCGAUAGCGGGCUCGUGCGCCUUCGCAAGCUCGCUUAUUUCGACUUCGGCUCUGACCUUCACCUCGGUGCCUCCAUCCACAAGUAGCUGAAGUCGACCUCAGGGCAAAGUCUCUGAGCCUGAUCUUGGCAGUUCUCAAAACCUCGGAUCAUGGCGUCAGUUGCCCCCUCUGCCAGCUCGUCGAAGUAUUGCUCAGACUUGCGGAAGUUUUGGACGGCCACUAGGACUUGCUCCUUCGCCAUCCGGUUGAGUUCCUCGGCCUUCAGCUUCAAAGCCUCAGCCUCGCGCCUUUGGCUAACCAAUGCAGACUCCAUCUCUGAAAUGCGACCUUAGGCGGUUGAACAAGUCUGGAGGAGCUCAACUUCCAUUCUCUGGAUUUGGACGAGCCCGACCUUGACAAGAGCCUCGGCUUGUUGCCGCCCUUGCUCGGCAGCUGCCGACUUUUGCUCUGUCUCCACUAGCAGCUAUUUGGCAUCGGCAGCUCGGGCCUCGGCUUCCACCCUUCGCUGCUCCGCGACUCUCACUUCUGACCGCAACUCCCGAAUUCGCUUUCGGCAGUUGAGCACGGCGUUCCCCAGCAUGUCGACCAAAUGGAGCGACUGACACAAGAAAACAGAAGUUAGCCGGGGUCAAGCAUCAACGCAGAGGUGAUAUCACUUACCAAAAUACUGGUGGUGUAGGCCUCGUCCACAACCUCGGUCACCCCUAGCUCCACUAGUUGAGCUCGAUCGCGUGGGAGCGAGGGGCAACGGACGAGCUCGCGGGCGACCUUGCUAGACUCCAAUGCCGUGUCGUCCUCGAAUAAUUGGCACCCGGGUUGAAAAAGCUUUCUCCCGGGCCUAGAAUAAAUAGAAUGAGCUUCGGGCGAGGCUGCGACCCCUGAAGAAGACGGAGCUCCAAGCUUGGCCCCUAGCUCGAAACUCGAUUGGGGCGACCGAACGACCCUUCGAGCACUCCGAGCUCCGGCAGGCACUGCAAUCGCCC